rnacentral:rRNA from 1 species
UCCAUAUGAGUGGCAACGGGUGAGUAAUAUGUGGGUAUCUGCCUUUUGGUUUGGAAUAACGCGGGGAAAAAAAACUUGUGCUAUACGAUAAGCCCUACCAAAAAACCGGGGAAAGUUUUACGCAAGAUACCGACUGAUACAUGUAGUAAGGUUCCAGCACGAUCAAUAGCUGUCUUAAGGAAGACAGCACUUGGAUGAGAACGGCCAGAUCCUACGGAGGCAGAGGGGGAUUGCCAUGGGGAACCUGAUGCGGAUGCCGGUGAGUGAGAAUGCUUUGGGUUGUAAAACUCUUCGUCGGGAAGAAAAUGACUGUCCCGAAUCAGAGGUCGGCUAACUUCUGCCAGCAGCGCGGUAAUACGAAUGGCCUUGCGUAGUUCGGAGUUACUGGGGUUUAAGAGUUCGUAGGGUGGUGGAAAAGUUAGUGGUGAAUCCCAGAGCUUUACUCUGGAACUGCCAUUAAACUUUCAGCUAGAGUUGAUAACGAAGCGAAUUCCAGUGUAAGGGAAAUCGAAAUUUUAAAAGAUUACCAUGCGAAGGGCGU